rnacentral:rRNA from 1 species
AUGCCUGGUACUGGACCUCCUCAUUCCAGGCCAUACAGAGUGCCUAUGCAUCAGAAGAAAGAGAUGGAGGAACAGAUCAAGAAAUUAUUGGCAGCACACUUCAUCAGACAUAGUCAAAGCCCCUAUGCUGCUCAUGUGAUCUUAGUAAGGAAGAAAGGACAGUUCAAAUGGACAAAUGCACAUAACACAGCAUUUUCUCAGCUGCGGCAAGCACUGAUAUCUGCACCAGUUCUUGCUCUUCCUAAUUUCUCUUUGCCUUUCACUCUGGAAACUCAUGCCUCUGGCAAAGGGAUUGGAGCAGUUUUGAUGCAGCAAGGAAGGCCCCUUGCAUACUAUAGUUCAUCCUUGUGUCCCAGAAAUCAAGCUCUCUCCACUUAUGAAAAGGAAGCAUUGGCCAUAUUAGAAGCCCUUAAAAGAUGGAGGCACUAUUUACUUGGAAAUGAGCUUCUAAUUAAAACUGAUCAGCAAUCCCUCAAAUUUAUUACUGAUCAGAAAAUAACGGAAGGUGUGCAGCAUAAAUUGAUGAUGAAAUUACUGGAAUUCAACUUCAAAAUCCAGUACAAGAAGGGCAUUACAAACAAGGUGGAUGAUGCAUUGUCCAGAAUUCUUCCCUCUUGCAAAGCAAUAUCCAUGGCCACUCCUGUAUGGGCACAAGAACUGAUAGAAGGAUAUCACAAAGACCCAAUUUCUAAAGGAAUAUUGGAGAAAUUGCUGUUACACCCUGAAAGUUGCUUGCCUGAUUACACCAUCACAUCCGGUAUUAUCAGAUACAAGGGAAAGAUAUUGGUUGGAAAUUUUUCUAACUUAAGAAACAGAUUGAUAACUGCUCUGCACAGUUCUCCAAUUGGAGGUCACUCUGGAACAAGGGCAACUUAUCAUAGAAUUAAGAAUAUUUUCUACUGGCCUGGUAUGAAAGCAGAUGUGGAAACAUUCAUUGCAGCUUGCCCCAUUUGUCAAAGAGCCAAGCAUGAAAAUUGUUUGCAACCUGGGUUGUUAGACCCCUUGCCAAUAGCUGACAUGGCAUGUCAGCACAUCACCAUGGAUUUCAUAGAAGGGCUGCCAAAUUCUGAAGGGAAGGAGGUAAUACUUGUGGUAGUAGAUAGAUUCACUAAGUAUGCACAUUUCAUACCAUUACCACACCCUUAUAAUGUGAUGAGUGUAGCUCAAGCAUUUAUGGAUAAUAUCAUUAUAUUGCAUGGACCUCCCAAGCUCAUUAUAUCAGACAGGGACAGGAUUUUCACUAGCAAGUUAUGGAAAGACAUUUUUGCUGCUAUGAAAAGUGAGUUGAGAUACAGUACAUCCUACCAUCCACAAACAGAUGGGCAAACAAAGAGAGUUAACCAGUGUGUGUAA